CCUACGGGUGGCAGCAGUGAGGAAUAUUGGUCAAUGGACGAGAGUCUGAACCAGCCAAGUAGCGUGAAGGAUGACUGCCCUAUGGGUUGUCAACUUCUUUUAUAAAGGAAUAAAACGAGGCACGUGUGCCUUUUUGCAUGUACUUUAUGAAUAAGGAUCGGCUAACUCCGGGCCAGCAGCCGCGGUGAUACGGAGGAUCCGAGCGUUAUCCGGAUGUAUUGGGGUUAACGGGAGCGUAGAGGGGUUGUUAAGUCAGUUGUGACAGUUUGCGGCUCAACCGUAAAAUUGCAAUUGAUACUGGCAGCCUUGAGUACAGUUGAGGUAGGCGGCAUUCGUGGUGUAGCGGUGACAUGCUUAGAUCUCACG
rnacentral:rRNA from 1 species